AUUGAACGCUGGCGGCAGGCCUAACACAUGCAAGUCGAGCGGAGCGGCGGACGGGUGGGUAAUGACUAGGGAUCUGCCUGGUGGUGGGGGAUCACGUCCGGGAACGGGCGCUAAUACCGCAUACGUGCAGGGGGCCCUAGGGCGGAUGAGCUAGUUGGUGGGGUAACGGCCUACCAAGGCGACGAUCCGUAACUGGACUGAGAGGAUGAUCAGUCACACUGGAACUGAGACACGGUCCAGACUCCUACGGGAGGCAGCAGUGGGGAAUAUUGGACAAUGGGCGAAAGCCUGAUCCAGCCAUGCCGCGUGUGUGAAGAAGGUCUUCGGAUUGUAAAGUACUUUAAGUUGGGAGGCGUUACCAACAGAAUAAGCACCGGCUAACUUCGUGCCAGCAGCCGCGGUAAUUC
rnacentral:rRNA from 1 species